CGGUAGAAAGCGUUUCGGCGUUCAAUACGAUGACGUGCCAUAGCAUGUGUAGCUAAGGCUCACCAGGCACGAUGGUAGCGACCUGAGAGGGUGAUCGCACACCUGACUGAGACACGUCCCAGACCCUACGGAGCAGCAGUAGGGAUCUUCGCAUGACGAAAGUCGACGAGCACGCCGCGUGAGUGAUGAAGCUUUCGGAUCGUAAAGCUCUGUUGUUAGGGAAGAACAAGUGCUGAGAGUAUCUGCUCGCACCUUGACGGUACCUAACCAGAAAGCCACGGCUAACUACGUGCCAGCAGCCGCGGUAAUACGUAGGUGGCAAGCGUUGUCCGGGAAUUAUUGGGCGUAAAGGGCUCGCAGGCGGUUUCUUAAGUCUGAUGUGAAAGCCCCCGGCUCAACCGGGGAGGGUCAUUGGAAACUGGGAAACUUGAGUGCAGAAGAGGAGAGUGGAAUUCCACGUGUAGCGGUGAAAUGCGUAGAGAUGUGGAGGAACACCAGUGGCGAAGGCGACUCUCUGGUCUGUAACUGACGCUGAGGAGCGAAAGCGUGGGGAGCGAACAGGAUUAGAUACCCUGGUAGUCCACGCCGUAAACGAUGAGUGCUAAGUGUUAGGGGGUUUCCGCCCCUUAGUGCUGCAGCUAACGCAUUAAGCACUCCGCCUGGGGAGUACGGUCGCAAGACUGAAACUCAAAGGAAUUGACGGGGGCCCGCACAAGCGGUGGAGCAUGUGGUUUAAUUCGAAGCAACGCGAAGAACCUUACCAGGUCUUGACAUCCUCUGACAACCCUAGAGAUAGGGCUUUCCCUUCGGGGACAGAGUGACAGGUGGUGCAUGGUUGUCGUCAGCUCGUGUCGUGAGAUGUUGGGUUAAGUCCCGCAACGAGCGCAACCCUUGAUCUUAGUUGCCAGCAUUUAGUUGGGCACUCUAAGGUGACUGCCGGUGACAAACCGGAGGAAGGUGGGGAUGACGUCAAAUCAUCAUGCCCCUUAUGACCUGGGCUACACACGUGCUACAAUGGACAGAACAAAGGGCUGCGAGACCGCAAGGUUUAGCCAAUCCCAUAAAUCUGUUCUCAGUUCGGAUCGCAGUCUGCAACUCGACUGCGUGAAGCUGGAAUCGCUAGUAAUCGCGGAUCAGCAUGCCGCGGUGAAUACGUUCCCGGGCCUUGUACACACCGCCCGUCACACCACGAGAGUUUGCAACACCCGAAGUCGGUGAGGUAACCUUUAUGGAGCCAGCCGCCGAAGGGGACUGCGA
rnacentral:rRNA from 1 species